CCAAGCGAUGCCAGGUUGGCUAGAAGCAUCAGAGCUUGAGCUCCUAGGUACUGCAUGAUCAGCGGUGUCCUCUUUCGUAGAAGUAUUACUCUUCCAUACCUAAGGUGCCUCAGACCAUCAGAGUCAUCCCAGGCCCUUGCUGAAAUUCAUGAAGGUGUGCGGGGGAAUCAUCAAGGAGCCAGGGCCUUGGCCUUUAAACUCGUA
rnacentral:lncRNA from 1 species